UUAGAGGAAGUAAAAGUCGUAACAAGGUCUCCGUUGGUGAACCAGCGGAGGGAUCAUUACCGAGUUUACAACUCCCAAACCCAAUGUGAACGUUACCAAACUGUUGCCUCGGCGGGGUCACGCCCCGGGUGCGUCGCAGCCCCGGAACCAGGCGCCCGCCGGAGGAACCAACCAAACUCUUUACUGUAGUCCCCUCGCGGACGUUUUUACUUACAGCUCUGAGCAAAAAUUCAAAAUGAAUCAAAACUUUCAACAACGGAUCUCUUGGUUCUGGCAUCGAUGAAGAACGCAGCGAAAUGCGAUAAGUAAUGUGAAUUGCAGAAUUCAGUGAAUCAUCGAAUCUUUGAACGCACAUUGCGCCCGCCAGUAUUCUGGCGGGCAUGCCUGUCCGAGCGUCAUUUCAACCCUCGAACCCCUCCGGGGGGUCGGCGUUGGGGAUGCGGGAACCCCUAAGACGGGAUCCCGGCCCCGAAAUACAGUGGCGGUCUCGCCGCAGCCUCUCCUGCGCAGUAGUUUGCACAACUCGCACCGGGAGCGCGGCGCGUCCACGUCCGUAAAACACCCAACUUUCUGAAAUGUUGACCUCGGAUCAGGUAGGAAUACCCGCUGAACUUAAGCAUAUCAAUA
rnacentral:rRNA from 1 species